AGUGAACGCUGGCGGUAGGCCUAACACAUGCAAGUCGAACGGCAGCACAGUAAGAGCUUGCUCUUACGGGUGGCGAGUGGCGGACGGGUGAGGAAUACAUCGGAAUCUGCUUUUUCGUGGGGGAUAACGUAGGGAAACUUACGCUAAUACCGCAUACGGCCUACGGGUGAAAGCAGGGGAUCUUCGGACCUUGCGCGAUUGAAUGAGCCGAUGUCGGAUUAGCUAGUUGGCGGGGUAAAGGCCCACCAAGGCGACGAUCCGUAGCUGGUCUGAGAGGAUGAUCAGCCACACUGGAACUGAGACACGGUCCAGACUCCUACGGGAGGCAGCAGUGGGGAAUAUUGGACAAUGGGCGCAAGCCUGAUCCAGCCAUACCGCGUGGGUGAAGAAGGCCUUCGGGUUGUAAAGCCCUUUUGUUGGGAAAGAAAAGCAGCAGGUUAAUACCCCGCUGUUCUGACGGUACCCAAAGAAUAAGCACCGGCUAACUUCGUG
rnacentral:rRNA from 1 species